AUGAGCAGUCCAACCUCUUGUACGUGCAGGUAUGGAAGUAUUUAUAGGGGCAGGAGAGCAGCAGAUUCUCUGGUGGGCGCACCCACGUUCCUGAUCAUGGGGUCGUGCAUGAGAUCAUGGGAGCGGCCGGCUGGCUUCUUUCUUUAA
rnacentral:rRNA from 1 species